UUAUUAUAAGGAGUUCCCUGGUGGUCUAGUGGUUAGGAUUUGGCACUUUCACCACUGCAGCCCAAGUUCAGUUCCUGGAGUGGGAACUGAGAUCCCACAUCAAGCCACUGCACACCGUGACCAAAAAAUAAAAUAAAAUAAUAAAGUUAUUGUAAAAUAAUAACUAGGAGUUCUUUCUGAAGUGCAUUUGGAUUGGUGACAUCUCUGGAGCACACAGGUUUGAUCUCAGCCUGGCACAAUGGGUUAAAUGAUCCGGCAAUGCCACAGUCGCAGCUCGAUCUGAGUCCAGGCCUGGGAACUCUCUCUAGCCCAGGAACUCCAUAUGUCAUGGAGCAGCCAAAAAACAAAAAGAAAAAAAAAUAGUACCUAUAUUCCUUGUGCUAUAUAAAAAGAAACUCAUGGAUUGGAGAACAAACUCCUGGUUGCCAAGGAGGAGGAGGAGGGAGUGGGAUGGACUGGGAGUCGGAAGUUAAUAGAUGCAGACUAUUGCCUUUGGAGUGGAUAAACAAUGAGAUCCUGCUGUAUAGCACAGGGAACUAUAUCUAGUCACUUGUGAUGGAGCAUGAUGGAGGAUAAUGUGAGAAGAAGAAUAUGUGUAUGUAUAUAUAUGUAUGACUAGGUCAUUUUGCUAUACAGCAGAAAUUGACAGAACACUCAAGUUGACCCAGUCACACAUACAUAUAUACAUUCUUUUUUGUCACAUUAUCAUGCUCCAUAAUAAGUGACUAGAUAUUGUUCCCAGUGCAAAAGUGUCUAGUUUUGAUUCCAAUUUAUCUGUUUUUCUCUUUGGUUGCCUGUAUCUAACCACCACUUGAGACUCCUAACUCUCCCUUCACGCAACGCAGCAGCUAGAGGGAGCUUUUGAUCUUUAUGGUCCCCCCCCACCCCCCGCCCGCUACUCAAAACAGUCCCAUAUUGUCAUUCCUGCUAUGGCACAAUGGGAUCAACAGUGUCUGCAGUGGCAGGGACAUGGGUUUGAUCCCCCACCCAGCGCAGUGGGUUAAGGAUCUGGCACUGCUACAGCUGUGGCAUAGGUUGCGACUCCAGCUUGGAUUCAAUCCUUGGCCCCAGGGAGUUCCCGUCAUGGCUCGGUGGUUAACGAAUCUAAGAACCAUGAGGUUUUGGGUUCAAUCCCUGGCCUUGCUCAUGGGAUAAGAAUCUGGCAUUGUCACUGCAGAGGCCUGGAUAACCACUGUGGCACAGGUCCGAUCCCUGGCCCAGGAACUUCCACAAGCCGCAGGCAUGGCUAAAAAAAGAAGAAAAGAUUAAAAUGUAAAAAGAAAUAGAUAAAUAAGCACAGGAAAAUUGCUGGACAUCAUUAAUCAUUAAGAAAAGCCAAAUCAAAACCACAAUGAGGUACUACCUCACACCCAUUAGGAUAGCUAUCAUGAAAAAAAAAAAAAGAAAAUAACGAGCAUUGGCAAGGAGGCGGAAAGUUAGACAUCCCUAUUGAUGGGGAUGGCAAAUGAUACAGCCACUGGAAAACAGAGUGGCACUUCCUCAAAUAAUGAAGCAGAGACUUACCAAAGGGUCCAGCGAUUCCACUUCUGGGAUAUACCCAAAGGCACUGAGAGCAGGGACUUGGACAGAUAUUUGUACCCUUGUUCAGAGCAAUGUUAUUCACAAGAGCCAAAAGGUAAAAACAGCCCAAGUGCCUAUCAACAAAUAAACAAAAUGUGACUGCACAUACAAUGGAAUAUUAUUCAGCAUCAAAAAGGAAGGAAAGGAAUUCCCAUCAUGGCUCAGUGGUAACGAACCCGACUAGUAUCUAUGAGGAUGCAUGUUCGACCCCUGGCCCCACUCAGUGGGUUAAGGAUCCAGGGUUGCCAUGAGCUGUGGUGUAGGUCACACUUGUGGCUCAGAUCUGGCAUUGCUGUGGCUGUGGCGUAGACUGGCAGCUGCAGCUCCGAUUCAACCCCUAGCCUGGGAUCUUCCAUAUGCCACAGGUGUGGCUCUAAAAAGCAAAAAAACAAAACAAAACAAAAAACCAACCAAACAAAAAACAUACUCAAAAUAUUAUCAUUUCAAAAUGUAAUUAAUUUUUACAGUUAUCGAAAUGUUGUAUACUCUUUUUAUUAUACCCAGUUUUGAAGUUCAGUGUGUAUGCCACACAGCCUAUCUCAAUUUGGGCUAGCCACUUUUCAAGUGCACGUAUCUCCAUCAUAUUUGCAAAGAUCCAUGUCUCCCCUGCAACGCAUCUACAACACAUCUGCAAAUACAUCCAGAGUUUCAUCUGCAAAAGGCCCCACAGCUCUGGGGCCAACCCCUCAAUUUCAUCUCAGACAACCUCAGAGAAAUCACUGGCUCAAGGAACACAUGCUGAUUCCGAAUCGACAUCUGCAGGUUGAUUUGACCUGCAGAUCCCCUAUCUUCUUUGCAUUAAUUUGCAUAUCAUUCCUGUGUCCAUCUGAAGCACAGGGCAGGGCUUCAGAUAGUCAUCUCAAAGUCAGGAAGGCGGUGACCUGGGACUGGACUGGAGGCCCCUUCUUGCUUCCUCUCCAGCUCUCUGUCCUCUUCCUCGCUGCUCUCCUCUGCCUCCUCUUCCAGGAGGGCACCCAGUUCCUCCCGAAGCACUCCCAUCUCCAGUCCCAGGCUGCACAGUUGGCCCAGCAGCUGUGCAUCCACUCGGCGGAGGUUCCCCUGUGGGUGGGAAAGGGGAGUCAUGGGCAUCCCAACCCAGAGGGCAAGGGGUUAGUGUGUCCCCACCUCAAAACCUGGAUGGGAGCAGGUCUCAACUCAAGUCCCCACAAGGAUUCUUUGUCUGACCCAAGGGUUGCACUCACGGCAUAUGGAGGUUCCCAGGCUGGGGGUCGAAUCAGACCUGUAGCUGCCGGCCUACACCACAGCCACAGCAACGCUGGAUCCUUAACCCACUGAGCAAGGCCAGGGAUCAAACCCAAGUCCUCAUGGAUACUAGUCAGAUUCAUUUCCACUGAGCCAUGAUGGGAACCCCUGUCUGACCCAACUUUGAUCAGGAUCCUGAACCUUUUCCUAGACCCGACACUUCCUUGUAAAAUCCAGUUUUGGCAAGAACCUGCAGGGUCCUUGCCCCCCACCCUUCCCCAAGGGACAGCUGAUCCCCAGGCCAGCCUUCAGCAAGAAUCCUGCUAGGUUGGCUUAGCUAGAAUCCCCCCUUAACCCCUGAUGUUUCCUCCUAGGAAUCUUCUAUCCCCGACCUCUCCCUUGCUCCUUGGCUGUACAUUCCCACUUGCUCAGACUGCAUUCAGAGCAGAGUCUGAUCUUUCUCCUAUACUGCAAAAUCCCAUCACAGCAGUCUCCAUACUUGAUAGCCUUGCUGGUUUUUUUGUUUGUUUGUUUGUUUGUUUUCCCCCUUUUUUGGCCACCCCGCAGCAUAUGGAGUUCCUGGGCCAGGAAUGAGAUCCAAGCCACAGUUGCAACCAAUGGUACUGCAGCUAAACAACACCAGAUCAUUUAAUCCACUGAAGCAGGCCAGGGAUGGAGACACCGUCCAUCCCGUUGCACCACAGCAGGCACUCCUAGCCUUGCUCUCUUUAACACGUGUCAUAAUGUAACAUUUCUUUAGCAGUCCUGGCCCACAGCAAGCAGGCAGGACCCUCACUGUGUCCCUGGCCUCUAACUACCAUCCUGCUUCUGUCUCUGAUCUCUGC
rnacentral:lncRNA from 1 species